UGCUUCCUACGGGGGGCAGCAGUGGGGGAUAUUGCACAAUGGGGGGAACCCUGAUGCAGCGACGCCGCGUGGGUGAAGAAGCGCCUCGGCGCGUAAAGCCCUGUCAGCAGGGAAGAAAAUGACGGUACCUGAAGAAGAAGCCCCGGCUAACUACGUGCCAGCAGCCGCGGUAAUACGUGGGGGGCAAGCGUUGUUCGGAAUGACUGGGCGUAAAGGGUGUGUAGGUGGUUUGAUAAGUUAGAUGUGUAAUACCCAGGGCUUAACUCGGGUGCUGCAUCUAAAACUGUUAGACUUGAGUACUGGAG
rnacentral:rRNA from 1 species